rnacentral:lncRNA from 1 species
UCCUCUUAAUUUUUUUACAACAUGACUUUUUUUCUUUUAGUUUUUGAAAAAAUAAAAAUGAAGCUCCAAAAGUCUAUUUCUUUCCUUUUAUUUUUUUUACAACAUAAUUUUUUUCUUUUACAUUUUUAAAAAAUAAAAAUAAAGCCCCAACGGGGAGUUGCGCACGGGAGGAAUCGACGGUGGGAAGGGCAGGCCAAAAUCCGCAAAGCUAGCCUCCUCCACCAAUUCAUCACAUUAUGCUUACAAGGAUAUAAUAAAUAUAUACAUGCUAUUAGUUAUGCAACUCUAAUUUUUUCCCG